AGAGUUUGAUCCUGGCUCAGAUUGAACGCUAGCGGGAUGCCUUACACAUGCAAGUCGAACGGCAGCGGGAAGAAAGCUUGCUUUCUUUGCCGGCGAGUGGCGAACGGGUGAGUAAUGUAUCGGAACGUGCCCAGUAGCGGGGGAUAACUGGCCGAAAGGUCAGCUAAUACCGCAUACGCCCUACGGGGGAAAGGGGGGGACUCUUCGGAGCCUCUCACUAUUGGAGCGGCCGAUAUCGGAUUAGCUAGUUGGUGGGGUAAUGGCCUACCAAGGCGACGAUCCGUAGCUGGUCUGAGAGGACGACCAGCCACACUGGGACUGAGACACGGCCCAGACUCCUACGGGAGGCAGCAGUGGGGAAUUUUGGACAAUGGGGGGAACCCUGAUCCAGCCAUCCCGCGUGUGCGAUGAAGGCCUUCGGGUUGUAAAGCACUUUUGUCAGGGAAGAAAAGACUAUCGAUAAUACCGAUGGUCGAUGACGGUACCUGAAGAAUAAGCACCGGCUAACUACGUGCCAGCAGCCGCGGUAAUACGUAGGGUGCAAGCGUUAAUCGGAAUUACUGGGCGUAAAGCGUGCGCAGGCGGUUCGGAAAGAAGGAUGUGAAAUCCCAGGGCUCAACCUUGGAACUGCAUUCUUAACUACCGGACUAGAGUAUGUCAGAGGGGGGUAGAAUUCCGCGUGUAGCAGUGAAAUGCGUAGAUAUGCGGAGGAAUACCGAUGGCGAAGGCAGCCCCCUGGGAUAAUACUGACGCUCAUGCACGAAAGCGUGGGUAGCAAACAGGAUUAGAUACCCUGGUAGUCCACGCCCUAAACGAUGUCAACUAGCUGUUGGGCCCUUCGGGGCUUAGUAGCGUAGCUAACGCGUGAAGUUGACCGCCUGGGGAGUACGGUCGCAAGAUUAAAACUCAAAGGAAUUGACGGGGACCCGCACAAGCGGUGGAUGAUGUGGAUUAAUUCGAUGCAACGCGAAAAACCUUACCUACCCUUGACAUGUCUGGAAUCCUUUAGGGAUAGAGGAGUGCUCGCAAGAGAACCGGAACACAGGUGCUGCAUGGCUGUCGUCAGCUCGUGUCGUGAGAUGUUGGGUUAAGUCCCGCAACGAGCGCAACCC
rnacentral:rRNA from 1 species